rnacentral:rRNA from 1 species
CCUACGGGGGGCAGCAGUGGGGAAUAUUGGACAAUGGGGGCAACCCUGAUCCAGCCAUGCCGCGUGUGUGAAGAAGGCCCUCGGGUUGUAAAGCACUUUCAGUGAGGAAGAACGCCUGGUGGUUAAUACCCAUCAGGAAAGACAUCACUCACAGAAGAAGCACCGGCUAACUCCGUGCCAGCAGCCGCGGUAAUACGGAGGGUGCGAGCGUUAAUCGGAAUUACUGGGCGUAAAGCGCGCGUAGGUGGCUUGAUAAGCCGGUUGUGAAAGCCACGGGCUCAACCUGGGAACGGCAUCCGGAACUGUCAAGCUAGAGUGCAGGAGAGGAAGGUAGAAUUCCCGGUGUAGCGGUGAAAUGCGUAGAGAUCGGGAGGAAUACCAGUGGCGAAGGCGGCCUUCUGGACCGACACUGACACUGAGGUGCGAAAGCGUGGGUAGCAAACAGGAUUAGAUACCCCGGUAGUC